UCCCUUCACAAACGUUUCCUUCUCCACAUGUCUGCUGCUGCAAACGCUGGGAACAUGGCGUCGGCCCGCUGCUCGCCGCUGACGCCUUGCAGGAAGACGGUGACACCGAGCCGGACAGCGGUGACCACGUCCUCCGGUGCCAUCCUGCCCAAACCCAAGAAGGCCGACUUCAACCAGUCUGACCCUGAAGUUAUUGAACAUUUGAGUCAACCAAAGACCAAAGACAUCCUGAAGACAUCCAGGCUGUGCUGAGAGAGAUGAGCACUUCCCUGGCUUCACUGGAGAUGAGAUGCUUGUCUUUCAUGGCUGCCAGUGGUCCAAGCGCUCCUGCUCCAGCUCGUGCACCACAGCUUUUCCCCCGUUCACUGUGACGGCUCCCCCUGCCUCCUCCGCUGCCACUGCUGCCUCUCCAGCCUCUCUUCCACCUCCUCCU
rnacentral:lncRNA from 1 species